UACGUAGGGGGCAAGCGUUGUCCGGAUUUACUGGGCGUAAAGAGCGCGUAGGCGGUAGCUUAAGUGUGGCCUGAAAGCCCCCGGCUCAACCGGGGAGGGUGGCUGCAAACUGGGCUUCUUGAGGUCGAUAGAGGAGAGCGGAAUUCCUGGUGUAGCGGUGAAAUGCGUAGAUAUCAGGAGGAACACCGGUGGCGAAGGCGGCUCGCUGGGUCGGACCUGACGCUGAGGCGCGAAAGCGUGGGGAGCGAACGGG
rnacentral:rRNA from 1 species